rnacentral:sRNA from 1 species
GCUGGAUGUGGUGGCACAUGCCUGUAAUCCCAGAGACUCAGGAGGCUGAGGCAGGACAAUUACAAGGGGCCAGCCUCAGCAACUUUUCGAGGCCCCUAAACAAUAUAGUGAGACCUUGUCUCUA